rnacentral:rRNA from 1 species
UACAGAGGGGGCAAGCGUUGUUCGGAAUUAUUGGGCGUAAAGAGCUCGUAGGCGGUCUGUUGCGUCGGCUGUGAAAACCCGGGGCUCAACCCCGGGCCUGCAGCCGAUACGGGCAGACUAGAGUUCGGUAGGGGAGACUGGAAUUCCUGGUGUAGCGGUGAAAUGCGCAGAUAUCAGGAGGAACACCGGUGGCGAAGGCGGGUCUCUGGGCCGAUACUGACGCUGAGGAGCGAAAGCGUGGGGAGCGAACAGG